rnacentral:tRNA from 1 species
GGUCCCAUGGUGUAACGGUUAGCACAUUGGUCUUUAGCUCCAAAGACCCGAGUUCAAAUCUCGGUGGGGCCU